GAUCAGCUCAGUGGUAGAGAGUUUGACUGCGGAUCGAGAGGUCCCCGGUUCAAACCCGGGUACCC